AUACGAAGGGUGCAAGCGUUAAUCGGAAUUACUGGGCGUAAAGCGCGCGUAGGUGGUUUUGUAAGUUGGAGGUGAAAGCCCCGGGCUCAACCUGGGAAUUGCCUCCAAAACUGCAUGACUAGAGUACGGUAGAGGGUAGUGGAAUUUCCUGUGUAGCGGUGAAAUGCGUAGAUAUAGGAAGGAACACCAGUGGCGAAGGCGACUACCGGAACGGAAAUGAACACGGGGGUGCGAAAGCGUGGGAGGCAAACAGAAUAAGUUACCUUGGUAGUCAACGCCGUAAACGAUGUCAACUGGCCGUUGGGAGCUUUGGGAUCUUAGUGGCGCAGCUAACGCAUUAAGUUGACCGCCUGGGGAGUACGGACGCAAGGUUAAAACUCAAAUGAAUUGACGGGG
rnacentral:rRNA from 1 species